UACGUAGGGUGCGAGCGUUAAUCGGAAUUACUGGGCGUAAAGCGUGCGCAGGCGGUUCGCCAAGUCAGGUGUGAAAUCCCCGGGCUUAACCUGGGAAUUGCGCUUGAAACUAGCGGGCUUGAGUGCGGCAGAGGGGGGUGGAAUUCCACGUGUAGCAGUGAAAUGCGUAGAGAUCCGGAGGAACACCAGUGGCGAAGGCGACGUCCCGGGCUUGACCUGACGCUGAGACGCGACAGCACGGGGAGCGAACGGG
rnacentral:rRNA from 1 species